rnacentral:ncRNA from 2 species
CGCAAGGGGGAAUGCGUUGGUUCCUGUCGGAUCUGUUCCGCAGGCGAAGAGGGAAUGUGCCACCCAAGCACAGCCGCCCCCGCGACCGUGACCGGAGAGGUCCCCAUGCCACUGACCUGCACGCGCAGUCGGGAAGGCAGGUGGACCACGCGACAGCCCCAAGGCCGCCGCAAAUCCGCAAGCCGGGAGACCUGCCAACGGAGGACAACCGGC